GUAGACAUAGUUUAAUCUAAAACGUUAGAUUGUGAUUCUAAAGACAGAGGUUAAAAUCCUCUUGUCCACC
rnacentral:tRNA from 1 species